UAAAGAAGCCCCUACUUCAUCCGAGAGACACUCCGCGCCCCAGGUAGAUAUACGGGGUGUACGUUUUGGGAAGACGACGCCUCUCUCCUACCCUGCACUCCUCAGGCCGGCCGAAAAUACAGGCAUUCCCCAAAACAGUAGUAAGUAAAAUCAGGUGCGCUGGGAUUGAGACAUGCGGGAAGGGCACGGAGGGAGCAGCGACAGCGGCAGGACAGAAGCCCCGCAGCCGCAGGGCAGGAGCCCCCACAGCCCCCGCUGCUCCCCCGCACGCCCGGCCGCCCUCGCUCGAGCCGCUGCCACCUCCCAGCACAUUCCACGGGACUGGAAAUCCUUUCCUAUCCUUCUGGAGAAUCCUUCCCCACCUCCAAUCCAAUCCGAGUUCUUCAGGGGAUCAGGAAGAGCGAUGAACUUUUUUCCACCUGAUCUCCCCCCGCGGAUUCCCAGACAUUCCUCAGGCAUGCUCACGGCUCCCUCAGCCACCAGCAUUUCUGUCCUUUCCCCUACACGGGGGGGGGGGGGGAACCCUGAGCCCUUCCAGCAUCCACGGCUUUGUCUGCAAGGGUUAAACCAGGGAAUGGAGCAGUGUCCUUUCUGUCGGAGACACGCCACCUGAACGCGAAAUCAAACCUACUCACCGGGUGAAAUCGCAGGAGGCGAAGCGGCUGUGAGCAAAACGCGUCCCGGCUCCGAGCACAUAGUCCAUGUUCUGCGGCUUCAGGCUAGAGCAGGGCUGAGCAGGGCGGGGGGACUUGGGGAACCGGCAGCAGUUCUGUGUGUGAAACAACCCAUUUACACCGUGCGUGCCUGUCUGUGUGUGUGUGUAGGGCAGAGAGAGGCUCCAGACCCAAAACGGGGAAAGGAGGGGAGGAGGGAGGGAGGAGAGAGAAGGAGGAGGAGAGAGGGAAGCAAACCCGAAUAGCGAGAGGAGUUGCGGGGAGGAAUGGGAUUUGCUGGGGUUGAGGUGGGGUUUUUUGGUGGUGAUGGAAGCGAUUCUCGAGGAAAGAAUAAUAAACUGCGGGAUCUCAGCAGCAGGCAGGAUGGAGAGGGGCUUUGCCCAGGCAGGUGGAGCACCGAGCAGCGGGAGGCUGGAGCGAGCCGGGCGGGCCACAGAGGGCCGGGGGGCGGCUCAGCCACCGGCCGGGGCGCUGGGGACGCCGCUGGUCGGGCUCUCGGGCUCGGGGUCCGCGGGGCUCGGGGGUUCGGGGGGCUCGGAGUCCACGGGGCUCCGGGUCCGCGGGCCUCCGCCACCUGCCUGGGUGCGGGGGGAGUGGCGCAGGGGGCGCGGGAGCCGCGGAGCGGGGACAGCGACACAGCCGGGUAGGGCUCCAGCGAGCCGCAGCGGCGACAUCGACCGGCCCGGCUGUCGGAGGGGCUCUCCCCGCAUCCCCUCCCCGCUGUCCGUUCGUGCCCGGCAGGGAAGGGCUGCGAGUCCUGGAGCGGGGAACGGGCUGUGGGAGCGGCGCGGGGAGGCGACACCGCGGCGAGGAACCUCUGCGGAGGAGGGAGGGGGAGCGGAAAUGCCCCUGCUCAUCACCCGUGCCUCUCUCCUGCCCUGGGUAAGAGGAGCAUCUCCCCUUCAUCUCCCUCUUCAUCCUCCCCCCCUUGCUUCUCGGCGCUUCCAGGCUCUCUGUAUGGAAAUCACGAGCUGGCUCGGUGGAAAAAUCUCCCUUUUCUUCGCAUAGUGCCUCUGGAAUGUGUGCGGAAUCUCAAGGUGUGUGGGGGAGAGGGAGGCAGUGCCAGCAUUUUAUGGAGCUUGGUGUGUGUCCCCCCCUACCCCUAGUCCCUCUCCUCCAUCCGUGCUGUGAGCAGACACGCGUUCAUGGCUAAUAAAAACGCUUUUCCCUGUGUAUAAUUGGGCUGAGAGCUAAACCGAAAGCCAGUCCGUGUCCGGGAGCAGCCUGCAGAUCAACCAGGAGCUUUGGCAUCCCUGCGGUGUAGCCUGGCUGUGUUCACCUCAUGCUUCCCGGGAUCAAUAAGCACACUAACCAUACCGAUUAUGUGAUGUAUACGUUGGGCAGUACGGAGUGAUCGCAGCAUUACACCAGCACUUGUCUGCUGUGCUACAUGUGGUCUUCAAAAAAGAGAUGGUAAUUUUUGCGGAUUUUUUUGAUCAAGAAAGUUUUUGUCUUCUCUCCAUUACCUCUGUAAGCACCAGUUCACGGCCGUUUGCCAGUCUGGCAGUUUUAUGUUUCCAGAAUCUGUCACGAAAUAUUCGGAAACCACAGAAACCCAAGAUUCCUCUGGCAUCACGUCGGUUUGUUCCUGCCAGCAUGUUUGAUCAUUUUUAUGCUAAAUGAGCUGAUCUUAGUAAUGAUUUGCCCUGCUUGGGGUUUUAUUGACUUUUUCAUUAGCAAGGAGGUAAGAAAAGGACUGAAGGAAGGAUGUUACAGUUUGUGAAAAAAAUGCAGUGUCCAUUUCAAUUGUAGUAGCUGUUAAAUAUGUAGGCAUAUGUAUGCUGCCUUAUGCAGUUAUAAAAAUGAAAGACAUGCCAUCUUGCCUCCUUGCCUCAGAAUAUGAUUUCUCUCACAGCAACAAGUAGCACAGGCUCCUCUCUCCCCUUUUCUCCUCCCCUUCAGCCCCUCCUGACAAAAUGCCAGUUAUAAAGGUCAGCCUGUUUAUGUAAAGACUGUGUGUUUCUUAACAAAGACCGCUGCAGAUCAAGCCUGCAAUGACUAUCAAAUAGACUUGGGAUUCAAGACACUCAAUAAGAGCACUGUCCAUUUUCUAGGACUGAUGAAAUCCCAGGCAAAACAGAAGACAAAGAGCCGUAGCGUGUGACUGGGGUAGGUCACCAGCACCAGGGUGCACACGGGCAGCAGUGUCUUCAUAGCAGUGUUUGGUGCUGCAAAUGUUGGCAAGAUCCACUGGAGCUGUGUUUCGUCCUCUCUCUAACGACGUCCUUAGGCUGAACUUGCUUUGCAGCUCCUUCACACCAAAGGCAGCUUGAAUCAGCCAAGGAGAGUUUUGAGUCUGACCAACCCCACCCUCCCAACAGAAGAGAAGAGAUCGACUUCAUUAGUCUUUGGCUUUGCAAUGAGGUGUUUUCAUUUCAUAGCGUCCAGAGGUGCAGUGCACACGGUCUGAUCUUUAUUUCACUGUGCUCUCUUUCCCUCACUGCCACCUUCUUUCACCCGAAGAGCAGUACAACUUGGUUUCCUCAACUAGCAUAACCUCUGCUGGCCCUUUUCCACUUUAAAUCUAAUAAGAACAUUCUGAUAUUAUUCACUUCCUAGAAUUAUAGAAUCACAGAAUGGUUUGGUUUGAAGGGACAUUAAAGAUCAUCUCGUUCCAGCCCCCUAACACAAGCAGGGCCACGUUCCACUAGACCAGGCUGUUGUUUUUUAACCUAAAGGUUAAAAAAAGUUACUUUAUAAUUACAACACAGAUCUGCAACAGUGGUCAACUCCAAGACCUAAUUGUGGCCACAGUUCACUUUUGGCUCUUAAAAAUCACCCUGAAGCAGAGUUAAAGGGUUGUAGAGGACUAUGAUGCUUUUUGUUCAAUGAUGUUAAUAAUCUAUGGCCUUUGAAUAUGAUAUCACAGAGUCUCAUCCUAGGGCAGAAUAAUGAAAUCACAAGCAAUGGAACGGGGCAGAAACUUAUAUCAGUCCCCAAAAUACUAAAUGCAAACUGGGACCCAAUCUGAACUGAGGAGCUGCACAUCUGAUGUCAGAGGGGAGGGGCACUUCAAGACCUCCCAUCCUAAAAGCCUUGUGGCCCUGAAUUACAGGCCAUUAGAUUCCUUUGUCCUGUAAAUCUGCGUUAAAUAGCAGCGUGAUUCUGUGUCGGUAAACGCAGGUUUUAACAGCUUAUCCCAUAAUAUUUUAAUUUUUCUUCAUCUAUUCAGCCUUUUCACCCUUUUUCUCCCAGGACCUGCUUAUGCUUCUCUUUAGCUACCGAAAAAUGUAUGUAAUUUAUUAAGCCAGUUCAGUAGUUCUCUUAGUUUCCAGCAGACAAACCUAUUAUGCAAACAAUACUGUCACCUUCUUGCAGUGCCUUCUCCCGGCUGUAAUGAAUUCUCUGCAUGCUACUCUGCUGUAAAUUCUCCAUCUAAAAAUUCCACGCACUACGUGUUUUGUCAGGGGAAACUGUACUUGACUUUUGAAACAGUUGGGAGGAACAAAAUGAUAACCUACUAAAGUGCCUUGCCCUUAACUUGAAAUUAUGGCAAGUAAUUAAAGUUAGAGCAGAAAGACUUAAACUUUGGACUGCUUAUGUUCUUAGCGUUUUUGCUGGGAUGAGGUGUUUUUUUUUUUUAGAUGUCUGAUUUGAAUGUCAAAUUUGCAUAUUCAUCUAGAAAACAGAGGGAAUGCUUAA